UAGCUAACUUCGGAAGCGACUGCCUAAGGCAGGAUUGGUGACUGGGGUGAAGUCGUAACAAGGUAUCCCUACGAGAACGUGGGGAUGGAUCACCUCCUUUCUACGGAGUACAAUUACAAUUUCAUUUUUGGCCUAAAAUCUUAAUACCUGAUAUUUAAAACUAAAUUAUUUAAAUAUCUCACGAGGGUACUAAGUCAGUGUGUUGGUGUAGCCAAAAGCACUCUAAUAUUCAGUUUUGAGGGAUUUACCUCAAAAAAAUAGAUCUUUGAAAACUGAAUAGCAUAUAAAUUAAUAUGAUAACGACAUCAAAAUAUAUUUUGUGAAAAUAAUUUUGAUCCGAGUUGUGUCUAUACAUGGGUAUAGACACUAUAAAUACCUUAAGAAUACAUCAAAACAAAAAAACAUUUUUUUUAAUAGGAAAAAAUAGUUACUUAUACUUUUAAAUAAGCAAGAGUUUGUAGUGG
rnacentral:misc_RNA from 1 species